ACUCAAAUGAAUUGACGGGGGCCCGCACAAGCGGCGGAGCAUGUGCCUUAAUUCGAUGCAACGCGAAGAACCUUACCUGGGUUGAACUACGCCGGAAAAGCUACAGAGAUGUAGUGUCCGCAAGGGCCGGCGAUAGGUGGUGCAUGGCUGUCGUCAGCUCGUGUCGUGAGAUGUUGGGUUAAGUCCCGCAACGAGCGCAACCCUUGUCCCAUGUUACCAGCGGGUUAUGCCGGGGACUCGUGGGAGACUGCCGGGGUCAACUCGGAGGAAGGUGGGGAUGACGUCAAGUCAGCAUGCCCCUUAUGUCCAGGGCUGGACACAUGCUACAAUGGCCGGUACAAAGGGCUGCUAUCCCGCGAGGGGGAGCGAAUCCCAAAAAGCCGGUCUAAGUUCGGAUCGAAGUCUGCAACUCGACUUCGUGAAGUCGGAGUCGCUAGUAAUCCCGGAUCAGCAACGCCGGGGUGAAUACGUUCCCGGGCCUUGUACACACCGCCCGU
rnacentral:rRNA from 1 species